UUUUAUUUUUUUAAAUCUUCCAAAAAUUAAAAAACCUUCUAAUAGAGGGGUUCUUAUUUUCAGAGCAUGAACGUGUUAAACGUGAAAAAGCUGUCUCUCAGACUAAGCCAGAGGAGAAAAUGAAACAACAAAAGGCAACUCCCACUGAGAAGUCAGAGCAUGAAACAGUCAGACAUGAAAAAGAUGUUCCCCUUACAAAACCAGAGCCAACAGCUGAAAUCCCGACAUCAGCCACAAAAAAACCAAAGACAACUAAGGAAAAAGAAGAAAAAACAACUGAGAAGAAACAGCUGAAAGAUGAAAAAACUAAAGUAAAAGAAGAUCCACGACAUCAAAACGUGACAUCAGGUACAUGAUUUUCCUUUAUUGUAAAUGAUUCAGGAAAGUUAUGAUUUGUUGUUUGGUUUUGUUUUGUUUGUUUUGGGUGGGGUUUUUUUUUGGUUUUGGUUUUG
rnacentral:lncRNA from 12 species